GGGGACGACUGGUAAAUCCUCUCUGUGCACCCAGACUGGGUCUUGCGCUGAAAAACAUCAAAAUCUGAAUUAUACAGAGGCUAUGCAGCACUAUGGUACUAUUUGGGACUUGGUGGAGCAAACCACUGGGAGCUUUGCUCAGCUGUAUCUAGGGAUUUUCCCGUAACCAAAUUGCUGAAG
rnacentral:lncRNA from 1 species